rnacentral:rRNA from 1 species
CCUACGGGUGGCAGCAGUGGGGAAUAUUGGGCAAUGGGCGAAAGCCUGACCCAGCAACGCCGCGUGAAGGAAGAAGGCUUUCGGGUUGUAAACUUCUUUUGACAGGGAAGAGCAGAAGACGGUACCUGUCGAAUAAGCCACGGCUAACUACGUGCCAGCAGCCGCGGUAAUACGUAGGUGGCAAGCGUUGUCCGGAUUUACUGGGUGUAAAGGGCGUGUAGCCGGGCUGACAAGUCAGAGGUGAAAUCCUGGGGCUCAACCCCCGAACUGCAUUUGAAACUGUAAGACUUGAGUGUCUGAGAGGCAGGCGGAAUUCGUAGUGUAGCGAUGAAAUGCAUAGAUAUUAAGCAGAACUCCGAUGGCGAAGGCAGCCUACUGAGCGACAACUGACAGUGAGGCACGAAAGCGUGGGGAUCAAACAGGAUUAGAUACCCUAGUAGUC